UAUGCUCGCGCAGCAGCAGGAGCGAAAUGCCGGUGUUGCACAGCGGUGUCACAGAGCCACCGCGCUGCGACCACUUCGGCGGCACAAUCCAAAUUUGUCGGACAUCUCAUUCUGUGCUGGAAACACUGGGAGGCAGGAAGUUUGAAAAAAACGGCCACUCCCGCCCGCAAUGUCUCGGUCGUGGGUUCGUUAUGCCAGUUGUUCAAGCCGUUCUGUACAUUUAUACUGGAUAUUAACUGGAGUCAUUUAGCUGUGCUGAUGCUGUUUGCCGUGUGUUUUGCAUCAGUGCUUCGUGACAUCGGCUGUAUUGCGUGUUUUCGCCGACGGCUUACUACCACAAUGGCGGGAUCUGCGUUCGCCGCCUUCGUGUCUCGGUGCGUCUUUGUACGUCGCACGUUCGGAUAACACUUUUUCCGACGGCUGGACAUCCUUCUUGUACGUUGGCGCUAGCUGGAUGACGGGACCUCAUCAUGAUCAGUGUAUUGCUUUCCUAUGUCUACAAGAACCGUCACGGGUGGCCUGUAACAGCAAGCUUUUGUGGGCAGCCAGUGCUCUCCUACGAAGGCUGGCCUACUCUGGCAGCGGCGGCAAUCAUCUUCAAGAUUUAUCGAUGAUCACCUUUGCUGCUAUUUGUCACUCUUCUUAAUUACACUUUCUGCAUCUUUUCUAAUCUAUUAGGUAAUAAAGUAUGAGUAUGUGA